rnacentral:rRNA from 1 species
GCUGGUGGCGAUGCGCUUUGGGGAAACACCCGUUCCCAUCCCGAACACGAUGGUUAAGACCAAAGCGGCCGAUGGUACUGCACUGGAGACGGUGUGGGAGAGCAGGUGGCUGCCAGCG